UAUGUUUCUUCUUAUAUCAAUUCAUUUUCAUAGAAAAUCAAACACAGAUAUAUAUAUCCAUGAACACAUAUCCAACACAUGUUACCAAUAGCCAUGAACACAUAUCCAACACAUGUUACCAAUAGUCAUGAACACAUAUAUAUCCAACACAUAUCCAUGAACACAUAUCCAACACAUAUUACAAGGAGACAAAGGAGAGAACCAAUACCAAAGAGCCAAAGGAGAGAACCAGCACCACACUUGCACCUGGUAUUUUUCUGCAAUUAGGGAACUGCACCCACAAGCACAGGGGGCUAGUACCAUUAUAAACUGCUAAAAAAAUCACUGAUGCAUCUUCACACAAAAAAAUCCAGCUACUUGUGAGCCUAGCCUAAUUAAAUGGCCAUCUCUUUUACUUCCAUGAUAGUGCCUGAAAUGUCAGAUAUACAAGAAAGGAAAUCAUUUACUUGUGAAUAUUCCAAAUGAAGAGCAGAACCUAGAAUAAUUUGCCUUUGCUAAAAUAAAUAAAUUGAGAACGAAGAUAAUAGUUUCAAGUGACAACUCACCAUUUCCCUUUGGUAGCAUGCCAAGGAAGCACUCUCUUGACUGUGACCCCCCGAUCACAUUCAGUUCCGCUCCCUGCAGGCACAAGAAUUUUCUUUCUAUUCCAUUUCGCACCAUAUCUCAGCCAUCAUUCACCAUGCAUCUGGACAACUUCGGACCCAGCAAGGUUUUUUCUACAAAGAUCAAAGUGUUAAGUAUAAGUUGUUAGGAGAAAAAGUGAAUUUUAUGGCACGUGUACUCUUUUCCCACCACAUGUAAAUUUUAGGAGGAAAAGCCAGCUACAGCCAUCAACCACAAAAUACUAACCAAUAUCCACAAAUAUGAAAAUAUUGCAAUGAAUACAUGUUGCACGCCACUGCAGCCUGCAUCACUUCAUUAAAAACAUCACCACUUUCAUAGUAGCAAGAUACAAGCACUUACGCUUAUUCUAAAUAUAGGCAACAAGCAUCCAACCAGCAGAAUGGUGAGAUGUCAGUUCAUCGAAAACUGUUUGUCUGUUCAACAAGGAGAAUAUAUCAAGGGAAAGGGUAAGAAUCUAGAUUUAUUUUCUUUUAUCUUGCAUGCCUGCUACAAGUGUGAAUCAACCUAUACAUUGCAACGGAAAUAUGGACUUACAUAAUGUAUAAUUGUAAGUGCAUAACAUCCAAAUGGACAGAACGGUAGCAUAGAUGGAUACCUAAACUAAAAUAAGCAUGUUCAAGUCUUAUCAAAUAGAAAAACCAUAGGAGCAUGAUCAUGUCCUAAUACCCAAUAUUAAAGCAUAGAGCAAUGAAUAGUAGAACUUAAAUAGGAAACAUGGUUUUCUGAAACAUAAAUUCAGAUUUGUGCAGGUUGCCCAGACUAUAUGACCAGUUUAGGAAUUACUAUAAUCAAGGAAGGAGACCUUUUUCAAGAGCCAGCGUACUCGGAUAUCGUCCUUAUGAUUCAUCACAACAAACAAUUAACUUAACGCAAAAUUGUUUGCGAUGCAUAUAUUUUGCAUAUCAAUGCAAGGGAACAAAACCAAAACUCUGUGAUGGGGAUCAUGGAAGGUUCUUUUCUCAUAAUUUAUGACCUGUUUAGGAUUUAUAAUCAAAGAAGGGACCUUUUUUAAGAGCCGCCUUGCUAUACUGACCUAGUGAUUCAUCACAGCAAACUAUUCAGUUAACAAAAGAUAUCAGCUAAGCAUGAACUUUGGAAACUUCUGUGCAUCAUACACUAUAAUCAUUCCUUAGGUGGUAGAAAGGGGAAGGAAUGAGAGGAGGGAUACCUCGGCCGGGACCUCGUCUACGACCUGAAGCUCAUUGGGAAGGGGUUAAAGCUGCUGCUGCAAGCUCCCACUCCGCUUAUCUGCCAUCCAAUGCAGAUCCAGCACAUGAGAUUGUCCACGAGCAAAACAGCUCACACCUAUAGACUUAGCAAAAGCACGAUCAAGUAUGCAUGGUCAAAUAGCCGAAUGUUCUGCUGUAAGAUGAUGACAUAAACCAACCAUCCAGCAAAACAUUUUCUUUCAUGUCACAGUAAUCUAAAUAGUGAAAAGUCAAGACUCUGACAAGUUUGUAAGCAGAAAAGGCUUGCAAUUAAUAAUGGCCAGGAUACCUUAUGGAUUAGUAAAUAGAAAAAACAAUGAUAACAUAUUGGAUGGCCAAGAGCAACAAAAAAAGAACAUAAGAUGCAGUUAAAUUUCAGUGCAUAUACACUGUAAAGUUAAUAGGUAGGGAUCCAAGUUGCAUGCUCAAGCUAGGUAACUACCAGAAAUUACACCACUUAGUGUUGUAGCGUGGUCUUUCUUGUUUCCUCCUACAUCUAGGUAACUACCAACAUCCAGAUCUAAGUCGACAUAGCAUCACAGAUAUAAUUGGCCUUUGACAACAGCUACUCAAUCGUAAUAAGUGAGGAGGGAGAGGAAGAUGCCAAGAACUACUCUUUCUGCCCAUGUUAAUAACUGGCGUCUCUGUUUUACUUUCCUUAACAUCAGAAUUGAUGAUAUUCAUUUGCUUCUAUUCAGGUCAUACAAAAGCCAGUGUAUCUAUGUAGAAUCAUCAUCUGAUAUUUAAGCAUCUGAUCCUAAAAAUACGCAUAAUUCAAAGAACGAAACUGUUGUUCAUAGUUGCUUCUGAAUGUACACAUAUUCAGAGAAAGAAACAAUGAGCUGUUACAUCUAAGCUGACGAAAGACACAUUAAUUUAACCAGAGGCGGAGGACGGAAAAAAAUUAAGGUGUGGCAAACUGUCAACUAGACAAAAUUGAUGCCCCCUCAAUAAAAAAGUUGAUGCAAAAACAUAAUAGCCAAUUCGAUAGGCCGCGGGUCGAGACGGUGUUAGGGAUGGAUGGACGGGCGGGGGCCGCGGUGUUGUUGGGCACAAAUCGCCGGCGGCGGAGGCAGGCCAUCAUCAGCAUAGCAGACUCAAAUCGGCAGGUUGGCGGGGAAUACGAUUGCGCUGCCGACGGCGGGGUCGGGGAUGGGCCGACGGGCGACGGCGGCGCGUCUCAGGGCAAAAAUCGCCCGCGGGCGGGCUGGCGGAAGUCAAUCAUGUACUAUUAUAUAUGUCAUAAGAAAAAAAAUACAUGUUGCACGCAUCAACAAAAAUUUAUCCAUUCUGUUUUUGGAUCGCUUAGUCACGAGUUCCAUCAGGAGCGAGCCGCGGAGAGAAUCGAUCCAAUCGUUGUGCAGCGGAAGCGAGCUGGUUCGCGUACGUAGUGAGAUGGGCAUGUGCUGUCUACAUAGUGAGAUGGGCAUGUGCUGGACAACACAUCAAUCAAGCUGCCUGCUUGUGUGCUUCCAAUCUAACUUACGUGCUUCAUCUAGCUUUGUUUGGGUGAAUCGAUCUAGCGUGGUCUAAAACUAACAAGCAAUAUUUCCAUCAAGAAAAGUAUAUGCUUAUAUAUAUAUAUAUAUAAAAAUUUGGUGGAAAUCAAGGUGUGGCGGCUGCCACACCUUGCCCACUGGGCUCCUCCGCCAGUGAAUUUAACCAAAUGAAGAGAAUACCUGGAGGGCAGUUGGUGACCAGAAUGCUAUGCCGGCCACAUGCAUGACUCCUAAUCAGAGUGGUGUCGCCGGCCUGUAGGGGAGCUCAGGGCAGCGGCUUGAGGCUGGAGAGGGAUGCGUCGGAUGGGGAUUUGGGGAAAGGAG
rnacentral:lncRNA from 1 species